UAGAGGAAGAAGAGUAGUCGGUUGUCAAAUGGGCGGAAGGAUAUGCAGUAUUGUGAUUCGCCUCCAGUCUGUUUGACGCCAGGACGGGUGAGAGACGAGGGAAAGAGAGGCAGGAAAAAAAAGAAAAAACUCCUUCAUGUCGGUGUCUGUAAAACAGAGCAAAGGUCGACAGACGCUACACCACUUCAUGAAAGGUGCCCCUUCUCGAAGUGUCAACCUCUUGUAUCUAAUAGCUGACUCAUCGUUGUUUUCAGCCUUAAUUCCUCAGUUACCCUUUACACUAAUUCCUGGAGUGGUUGUGACCCAGUUCCACCCCUCUUCCCGCUUCACUGCAGGCCUUCCUGAGUCCUGAGCACCAGCAGCUGCGUCCUGCCCCGACUUCCUGUCCUUGGUCGUACAAGGCUAAGCUCGUCAACUCCCCUACCCCCCCACAUACACAAACACACACACAAUCAUCUUCCUGGCACACUGCGGGCCGAGAGCGCUUCAGAUCCCACU
rnacentral:lncRNA from 1 species